GUGUGCUUUUCAAGAGCUUCUCAUCCUGCCCUGAAGAUGAUUUACCCGACUUGCGCUAUGCUGACAUCCACAGCUAUCUGGUGAACUUCCCAUCCGUUUACUCUGGGGACUCACUCAGAGCGUAUAAAAGCUUGGAGGCGUAUAAAUGGUGUCAGUCCGGCUUCGUCACGCACAUUCAGCUGUGGAGUCUUGCAUCCAAAAACUGCGGCAUCAUCACUGCAAGGGUAAGUAUUAAAUUAUCAGUCAGUGUCAAUUAGUCAGUGUCAGUUAGCAUUGUUUGUUUAUUAGCUUGGCUAGCUGCAGCAGUGUCACAGUAGCCUACCAUGUUUGAUUAUCUUGGGUAGCUACUGCAAUGCAUAUGUAACUUGCUAAGUUUGUAUUUUCUAACGUACUCAACCAAAGAGGAUGGGGUUUUCAACCUGUAGUUAUAUAAAUAUAUAUAUUUUAAUUUCAUAGGUUAAUCACUCCCAACGGCUGAAUGACAGUCAGCUAAAGCCAUGGGCGGUGGUGAGGAACGACGGUGUUGUGUUAGGCGCACACUGCAACUGUACAGCGGGACUCGGGGAGAGCUGCUCUCAUGUGUCAGCUGUGCUCUUCAGACUGUGGGAGAAAAACAACGCAAGGCACGAAGAGAUCAGCUGCACGUCUAAAAAAUGCAAGUGGGCCUCUCCCAGUGAGGAUGCUGCGAAGAAUGUGGUGUACCAGCAGGGCAAGGACAUCAUAUUCAACAGCAGUCAACAAAAUAAGAAGGGUAAUUCCACCAAGGGUACCUCUGCGCCACCAUCUUUCCCACCCCUGACUGCUGCCGAGCAAGCUCAACUCUACAAGAACCUUUCUCAGUGCCACACUCAAGAUGGGAAAUCCUGCAGACCUGCCGUCCUGUCAGUUGUUCCCGGGUAUGCCACAUCUUAUGUACCCAAGGCUGUCAAGCUGGAUUUACCCGAACCCCUCACCAGUUUGUACGACAAGAAGGCAAGAGACCUGAGCCUGGCUGAGCUACAAGAACAGGCAGAAGGAAUAUUUGAUGACUUGGCUGUCACUGAAGAACAGAGUGAUAUUGUAGAGGAGGAGACCCAAGCUCAGUCCAAAUCCAGAAUUUGGUACGAUCAGAGGAGUGGUAGGGUGACAGGAUCUACCUUCAGAGCAGCAACCAGAACAGACAUCAGAAAGCCAGCAGUGUCUCUCAUGAGACAGAUUUGUUACCCAAAGUCCCAUGUUUUCACCAGUGAGGCUACCAGAUGGGGAUGCAAGAAUGAAGAACUGGCCAGAAGUUAUUACGAAAUGCAGCAUCGACUAUCACACACAGAUGUCCUGGUGCGACCAGCCGGAUUCAGAAUUUCUACUCAGCACCCAUUUAUCGGGGCCUCACCUGAUGGGUAUGUGUCCUGUAGCUGCUGUGGCACAGGGGUAAUAGAAAUCAAAUGCCCAUUUUCAGCAAAGGACCUGUCUGUGAGUGAAGCUGUAAAUUCUGUUGGACACUUUUGCCUAGAAAAAAAUGUUGAAGGAAAAAUUGAAGUCAAGCGAGACCAUCCAUACUUCUACCAAGUCCAGAUGCAGCUAUUUGUCACAAAAUGUGAUUACUGUGAUUUUAUUCUGUGGACGGAAAAGGAACUCUUUGUAGAACGCAUUGCAUUCGACUCAGAAUUCUUUCAAGUACAACUUGAACUCGCUCGUGCCUUCUUCACAAAAUGUAUUAUCCCAGAGUUGUUAGGAAAAUGGUUUUCUGCACCUAAACAACCAACUGCUGACUCCGAUCCCCAGCAACAGUGGUGCUACUGCCGUGCACCUGCGGCAGGGAACAUGCUCGUUUGUGCCUCAGGGUUCUGUGCCGUGAAGAGGUUCCACCAAACCUGCCUCCAGCUGAAAAGGGUACCAAAACAGUGGCUGUGUCCAAGCUGUAGGAAACUACUCAAUGCCCAAAAAAACCCCUUAAUUACUUAGUCUUACUAACUUGUUCCGAUGUACUCAUGGUUGCACAGUAAGAAGAUAAUAAAAAGAAUUGUAUGUGUAAUAGCUGUGUCCUCCUUUAUCAUCCAGAACCUGUCGGGGAAAAUUGUGUUUUAACAUCUGGGUUGUCUCACCCUUUAAUGAGACUAGCAUAGUCACCUUUUAAAACCUGAUUGAGUAAAAGGUUGAAAUCUUGGUAAACGCAAUGCCACAAUGUUGUUCUCUUCUGUCUGUAGUAGUAUCUGUGACAAGCA